rnacentral:lncRNA from 1 species
AUCUCCACCAAAGUAAGGUUUGUCUCCAAGCUCAGAUUCAAGAGUCUUAAGUGCUUCAAUAUACUCUUUCUUGGCUGUCUCUUGUUCCUCGCCUUUAGUUUGCCAGAUCUUAUCUGCUGGCUCGUACAACUGCACCAUUUCACAGAUCAAACCCAAAACCAUUUUCAAUUAUGAGUCUACAAACAAAACCCUAAACAGAGAUUUUGGAUUUGGUACCUUGGUGUCGACGAAAUCUACCCAGAAUCUGGCUUGAGCUCUCUGGUAAGGAUCGGAAGGGAGGAUAGGGUUUUUGUCGGACCAAACCUCGUCGAUGUACUGAACAACGUUCAUGGAUUCACAAACUGGUUUACCAUUGUGGAUGAGAACCGGAAUCUUCUUGUAAACCGGAUUCAUCUGGAGAAGCAAAGGGCUCUUGUCUCUCAGAUUCUCUUCUCUGUACUCAAACUCAACUCCUUUCUCUCUCAGCGCGAUUCUUGCUCUUACUCCGAAUGGACUCGGCCAGAAAUCCAGGAGGAUCACUUCAUCCGCCAUUAUUGUGAAGAAUGAUCUCUUCUUUGAUUGAUUUUGCUUAAACAUUUUCUAUACUGCAAUCGCUGAUUCUUUAUAAGAAAUUUGUAUGCGCUGCUGAUGUAUUGAUUAUUAUUAUUGACUGUGAACAAAAAAAAAAAGAAAAAUUAAUUGAAACUUAGAAGCUAAGACACGGUAGCAAGCAAGGUGUGAACGUUAAACAAGUCAACUCAAUAUUAUUGAUGAAUUCGAUAUGUUUUUUAAAAAAUGCUCAGGCCACUGCUUACGUCAUUAUGCUUAUAUGUCUUGUUUUUAUGUUAAUAAAAAAUAAACGACACUAAUCCCUCUUUGCUUAAUCAUACAAUUUUCAACUCAAAACAUAAAAUUUUCUAUUUAAUUUUGUUUUCCACACACAAACAUACAUACACCAGUGAAUUCAAAUGGCAGAGUGUAUGGUACUACUUACUAACUUGAUCACAGCAAAAACUUGUUUUUUGUUUGUUUUUCUUUCCAAAGUAAAACAAAAUAAAUGGAGUACUUUUAAAUCUAUGAAUCAUAUUCUUGAGUGGCAAGAAACAACAUCCGUUACUGACAACAAUCCAGAAAACAUAUAGACCCUUAAAGGAAACAGAACACAAUAAAGCAGAGCAAAUAGAGCAUCUUAACAAAAACCAAAGUAGAAUGAUGAAAAAAAAAAAAAAAACCAAAGCAGAAUUCACAAACCAAACGGUAAAAGAGUCGAUGCUUUUUAUAAAACGUUGAUGUAUAGCUAAACAGGACAUAAAAUGGCAAUUAAAGAGACCUUCUUCUUUCUUUCUUUUUUGGUUUGAGAAAAAAAGAAGAAGACAUCUUCUCUUACUUAAUUCCAUAAAACUUCUUAAGCUGUAAAACGUAUCCAACAACUCUCUCUGAAUCAGGCAAAGCCUUAGCCACACUCGCUCUUUGCAUACACCUUUUGCCCCAAGCCAUCAGUUUUGAGCACUCGGGUUCGAUGCUGAAGUUACCAAACUUCUGGUAUGCUGGAAACCAACUGUAGUAUCCAAUCAGGACAAUGUCUACAAACCCGAAUUUAUCGCCACCAAAGUAAGGUUUAUCUCCUAGCUCACAUUGAAGUGUCUUGAGUAUUUCAAUAUACUCCUUUGUGGCUGCUUCAAGCUCCUCACCUUUGGUUGCCCAAGUCUUUCUCCCACAAACAAACAACUGAUCAUUGUGACACAAGGAAUAUACGCACACAUGAGUUACAAGCAAAACCCUAGAAUUUGAUCUGAAAUCUUUCAAUUGCAAAUUUAAUACUAUAAUAGGGCUAUAUUAUAUACCGUUAAGAAUUUCACUUUAUAAGAGAGAUAAAAUUCACUUUUUAUAUACCAAUUGAUUUGUAGUUGCAAAUCCAUAUAACUUAACAAUGAAUAAGGAUCUCACAAAAAAUUUAGAGCCAAAGGACACUAAAAUUUAUAGACAGUACUUGUUGUUACCUUCUUUUCGAUGAAAUCGGCCCAAAAUAAGGCUUGAGCUCUUUGGUAGGAAUCCGUAGGGAGGAAUGGGUUCUUGUCGGACCAGACUUCGUCUAUGUAUUGGAUUUGGAUGAUGGAUUCACAAACCGGUUUACCAUUGUGGAUGAGUACCGGGAUCUUUUUGUGAAUCGGAUUCAUCUCUAGAAGCAAGGGACUCUUGUUAUUGAUCACAUCCUCUUCUCUAUACUCAUAGUUCACUCCUUUCUCCUCUAACGCGAUCAUCGUUCUCAUUCCGAACAUGCUCGGCCAGAAAUUCAGAAGGAUCACUUCCUCUGCCAUUGUUGCGAUCCGUGAAGCUUUUCUUUCUUGAGUGGUCUCUUAUUAAAUGUGUAGCGUCUUUAGGCUGUUUAUAAGGGGGUAACAUGUCAUUUAUUAAAUGUUUUUGGCCAACCCUAUUAAACCGUUUUAAUAAAAUCAAAGUGUGAUAAUUUAUAAUUUCUUUAUAAUAAUGCUACUGCCUACUGGUGUAUUAAGAUAUGAGAUACUAUAUGCGGCUGGUUAGAGAAACCAUACAUAUUUUAACAGAGUAGUUUGAUACGUUACCUUUGGAAAAAACAGUAGUCUGAUAAAUCAAGGUUUUAAAAUAUUUUAUUGAUGCAUUUACAAUCUUUUUGCCGAGAGAAAAAUCACAAUUUUUGUCUAGUAGAGUAGUCAUGACAGAGAAGUUUAGCAUUUCCUAGUGAUGGUUCAAAGUUUAGUCGAAACAGAGCAUCCGAUUUUCAGAACAAGACUCCACCUAACUAAUUACAAAAUACUCUGCACUAUCAGGAACGACAAAACACAACACAACAAAGAGCUAAACAGAACAGAAAAAAUAAAAAAUAAAAAUCAAUAAUUAUAUGCGGCUGGUUAGAAUUAAUCAAAAGUAUCCUUUCAAAAAAUUGGAUCAGAGUGUAAAUCAAGGUUUACAAAUGUUUCUUUUUGGUGAUGAAUAAUACAACAUCUCCUCUUUGCUUCUUCUUAGUUCGUACAACUUAUGAAUGGUGACUACAGUAAUGCUAUACGGAUAUGAAACUCAAACUUUAACUAGUUUUUUUCUAGCAAUUGAAUGACGUGUGUAGAAUAGAAUUGUAUUGUUGAUUAAUAAAACAACAGAACACACUUGUAAAUGAUAGGGUUAAUUUGGUGGUUGAAUAGUGUGACGAAAAGAUAAUUAGAGAAAAGUUGUAGGUGAGCCACACCGUAGUGGAGUCUCCACUCAAAGCCUCAAAGUAAGGGAACUGACCAGCUUUUAUGUUAGUGAUCAGUAUGCUAUAAUCUCUUAAGAAAAAUAAAAAGAAAAAAAAAAUAAAUCCUAAUAAUAGUGAUAAUGGAUUAGAGGUGUUUUUACUUUUUAGGGGAGUUUAAGACCAUCUCCAAUGUAUUUCUUUAUUUUUAGUUUUCUAUAAUAGAGGUGAGUUUUCUCUAUUUUUACUCCAAUGUGUUCCUCUAUUUUUUUUUCUAUAAAAUUUAACUCUAUUUAUAGGGAAAAAAAUAGAGAUUCUCUAUAUCAUCCUUUAUAUAUAGAGCAAAAAAUAGAGAUCUUUAUUUUAGAGGUGGGAAUAGAGGUGGGUUGGAGUAAAUUUGCCUAUAAAAUAGAGUUUAGAGGCAAAUAUAGAGGUUGGUUGGAGAUGCUCUAAGAGAGUGCCAUGUCCUCCCAAAAUUGGUUGAGAAAUGAGAACCCAAAUUUCUUUUAAUCUUACUUUUGUAGAGCCUCUACCACUACUUCUUGCAUGAUUGUAACGUGGCCACCUCCUUUAUUGAUUGCUCUGUAUUAUAUUACUAUAUACUACUAAACAAAAGAAGUCCAACUUUUUCUUGUGUCUGUUGUUAUUCUACUAAACUACUUGGUGAAUACGACCAUCGAAACAAAUUUUAUUUAAAUUCCAUACUUAGGAUGGAUACAAACCACAACACACAGUCACUAAGGCUCUCUCGCAUUAUUAGGGGGAAGAAAAAAACAAAGAUAAAAAAACAGAACACAGCUUAGCAACAAGAGAGCAACAAGAUUACUCAGAUCAGAGAUUGUUUUUCCUAUACUCAGCAGCAUAUGCAACAAUCUUCUCAGAGUCAGGGAGAGACUUAGACACACUCUCUUUCUCCAUGCACCUCUUUGCCCAAGCGAUCAGUUUCGGACUCUCUGAUUCGAUGCUAAAGUUACCAAACUUCUCAUAGGCUUGGAACCAGCUGGAGAAUGUAAUCAAGGAAAUGUCUACAUACCCAAAGCUAUCUCCACCAAAGUAAGGUUUAUCUCCUAGCUCAGUUUCAAGAAUCUUCACUGCCUCAAUAAAUUCCUUCUUUCCUGCUUCUUGUUCCUCCCCUUUCUUCCCCCAUAUCUUGAAUUGGGCGUCGGUGAACUUAAUUCCAUUACAGAAUAUCAAAUUAUGUCAGAGGAAUCCAAAAACUCAAUUUUUAGAUCAACCCUAAAUAACAUUGUUUCAAACUCAAGUUAAGAAAUCUAGGGCACAAAAGGGAUUAGUUACCUUCUUGUCCACGAAAUCGGCCCAAAAUCGAGCCUGAGCUCUCCCGUAAGGAUCGGAAGGAAAGAACGGGUUCU